rnacentral:rRNA from 1 species
UACGAAGGGGGCUAGCGUUGUUCGGAAUUACUGGGCGUAAAGGGCUCGUAGGUGGCCAACUAAGUCAGACGUGAAAUCCCUCGGCUUAACCGGGGAACUGCGUCUGAUACUGGAUGGCUAGAGGUUGGGAGAGGGAUGCGGAAUUCCAGGUGUAGCGGUGAAAUGCGUAGAUAUCUGGAGGAACACCGGUGGCGAAGGCGGCAUCCUGGACCAAUUCUGACGCUGAGGAGCGAAAGCCAGGGGAGCAAACGGG